UACGGAGGUGGCAAGCGUUGCUCGGAAUCACUGGGCGUAAAGGGCGCGUAGGCGGGGAGGUAAGUCGGGUGUGAAAUCCCUCGGCCCAACCGAGGAACUGCGCCCGAGACUGCUUCUCUUGAGUCCCGGAGAGGAAGAUGGAAUUCCCGGUGUAGCGGUGAAAUGUGUAGAGAUCGGGAGGAACACCGGUGGCGAAGGCGGCAUCCUGGACCGGCAUUGACGCUGAGGCGCGAAAGCUAGGGGAGCAAACGGG
rnacentral:rRNA from 1 species